rnacentral:rRNA from 1 species
UACGUAGGGUGCAAGCGUUGUCCGGAAUUAUUGGGCGUAAAGAGCUACGUAGGCGGUUUGUCGCGUCGGCUGUGAAAGCCCGGAGCUCAACUCCGGGUCUGCAGUCGAUACGGGCAGACUUGAGUGUUGCAGGGGAGACUGGAAUUCCUGGUGUAGCGGUGAAAUGCGCAGAUAUCAGGAGGAACACCGGUGGCGAAGGCGGGUCUCUGGGCAACACUGACGCUGAGGAGCGGAAAGCGUGGGGAGCGAACAGG